UUUUCGAGUCAACGCGUCCGACUGAGGACCGUAGAGACGCAUUGUCAGGUUGAAUGACCAUUCGAGACCACAACAAUUCCGUUGUGAGCAAAGCACGAUCGGCGACGAGCAAAAAUUCUGUUGCGCCGGCAUGCGGCCGGGCACCACCUUCGUGGCACCCGGCGAAUGCCGGAGUCAGGCAGCCUUGUCGGUAUGAAUGACCGUAUCGCGGAGUUCCCGCGCGUUGCGGGUCGCAUCCUCGACAGUCCCCUGCGUCAG
rnacentral:misc_RNA from 1 species